rnacentral:rRNA from 1 species
AACGAACGCUGGCGGCAUGCCUAACACAUGCAAGUCGAACGAGACCUUCGGGUCUAGUGGCGCACGGGUGCGUAACGCGUGGGAACCUGCCCUUAGGUUCGGAAUAACUCCCCGACAGGGGUGCUAAUACCGGCUAAUUUCUUCGGACCAAAGAUUUAUCGCCUUUGGAUGGGCCCGCGUUGGAUUAGCUAGUUGGUAGGGUCAAAGCCUACCAAGGCGACGAUCCAUAGCUGGUCUGAGAGGAUGAUCAGCCACUCUGGGACCGAGACACGGCCCAGACUCCUACGGGAGGCAGCAGUGGGGAAUAUUGGACAAUGGGCGAAAGCCUGAUCCAGCAAUGCCGCGUGAGUGAUGAAGGCCUUAGGGUUGUAAAGCUCUUUUACACGGGAUGAUAAUGACAGUACCGGGAGAAUAAGCUCCGGCUAACUCCGUG